GGAGAGGUGACCGAGCGGCUGAAGGUGCACGACUGGAAAUCGUGUGUGGGGCCAACACCUCACCGAGGGUUCAAAUCCCUCCCUCUCCGCCA
rnacentral:tRNA from 1 species